rnacentral:rRNA from 1 species
GAUGAACGCUGGCGGCGUGCCUAAUACAUGCAAGUCGAGCGAACAGACGAGGAGCUUGCUCCUUUGACGUUAGCGGCGGACGGGUGAGUAACACGUGGGUAACCUACCUAUAAGACUGGGAUAACUUCGGGAAACCGGAGCUAAUACCGGAUAAUAUUUCGAACCGCAUGGUUCGAUAGUGAAAGAUGGCUUUGCUAUCACUUAUAGAUGGACCUGCGCCGUAUUAGCUAGUUGGUAAGGUAACGGCUUACCAAGGCAACGAUACGUAGCCGACCUGAGAGGGUGAUCGGCCACACUGGAACUGAGACACGGUCCAGACUCCUACGGGAGGCAGCAGUAGGGAAUCUUCCGCAAUGGGCGAAAGCCUGACGGAGCAACGCCGCGUGAGUGAUGAAGGUCUUCGGAUCGUAAAACUCUGUUAUUAGGGAAGAACAAACGUGUAAGUAACUGUGCACGUCUUGACGGUACCUAAUCAGAAAGCCACGGCUAACUACGUGCCAGCAGCCGCGGUAAUACGUAGGUGGCAAGCGUUAUCCGGAAUCAUUGGGCGUAAAGCGCGCGUAGGCGGUUUUUUAAGUCUGAUGUGAAAGCCCACGGCUCAACCGUGGAGGGUCAUUGGAAACUGGAAAACUUGAGUGCAGAAGAGGAAAGUGGAAUUCCAUGUGUAGCGGUGAAAUGCGCAGAGAUAUGGAGGAACACCAGUGGCGAAGGCGACUUUCUGGUCUGUUACUGACGCUGAUGUGCGAAAGCGUGGGGAUCAAACAGGAUUAGAUACCCUGGUAGUCCACGCCGUAAACGAUGAGUGCUAAGUGUUAGGGGGUUUCCGCCCCUUAGUGCUGCAGCUAACGCAUUAAGCACUCCGCCUGGGGAGUACGACCGCAAGGUUGAAACUCAAAGGAAUUGACGGGGACCCGCACAAGCGGUGGAGCAUGUGGUUUAAUUCGAAGCAACGCGAAGAACCUUACCAAAUCUUGACAUCCUUUGACCCUUCUAGAGAUAGAAGUUUCCCCUUCGGGGGACAAAGUGACAGGUGGUGCAUGGUUGUCGUCAGCUCGUGUCGUGAGAUGUUGGGUUAAGUCCCGCAACGAGCGCAACCCUUAAGCUUAGUUGCCAUCAUUAAGUUGGGCACUCUAAGUUGACUGCCGGUGACAAACCGGAGGAAGGUGGGGAUGACGUCAAAUCAUCAUGCCCCUUAUGAUUUGGGCUACACACGUGCUACAAUGGACAAUACAAAGGGCAGCGAAACCGCGAGGUCAAGCAAAUCCCAUAAAGUUGUUCUCAGUUCGGAUUGUAGUCUGCAACUCGACUACAUGAAGCUGGAAUCGCUAGUAAUCGUAGGUCAGCAUGCUACGGUGAAUACGUUCCCGGGUCU